rnacentral:rRNA from 1 species
AUUGAACGCUGGCGGCGUGCUUAACACAUGCAAGUCGAUCGGUAACAGGUGUAGCAAUACAUGCUGACGAGAGGCGGACGGGUGUGGAACGCUUGGGAAUCUGCCUAUCAGCGGGGGACAACCCGGGGAAACCCGGGCUAAUACCGCAUACGCUCUACGGAGGAAAGCCGGGGACCGCAAGGCCUGGCACUGAUAGAUGAGCCCAAGUCGGAUUAGCUAGUUGGCGGGGUAACGGCCCUCCAAGGCGACGAUCCGUAGCUGGUCUGAGAGGACGAUCAGCCACACCGGAACUGAGACACGGUCCGGACUCCUACGGGAGGCAGCAGUGGGGAAUAUUGGACAAUGGGCGAAAGCCUGAUCCAGCGACGCCGCGUGGGUGAAGAAGGCCUGCGGGUUGUAAAGCCCUUUCGGUAGGGACGAAAGCUCUCGACCUAACACGUCGGGAGGUUGACUUAACCUACAAAAGAAGCACCGGCUAACUCUGUGCCAGCAGCCGCCGUAAAAC